rnacentral:snRNA from 1 species
AAGCAAAUGUAAGAAGAAUAUAU